AUCAUUCAUAUCAUCUUUUCUUUCUCCACUCCUUUAAUUAUACACACUUUAUUUCUCGAUUACCCUACAGAUCUCAUUGGUUUUUUCUUUUAAAAAUAAUCUAAUUUCAUUUGUUUUUUUUUUUUUCUGUUUCUUUUAUGAUCAUUAUCCUCGAGUUUUGUGGAUUUCUUUUGCUGAAUUCAGUUUCGUGGUUUCUUUGUGUAUCGCUGGAGGAGGAGGAGGAAGAAGGUUAGCAGGAUGUUAGGAAUUCAUACAGUUCUGCAGCUUCUAUUUAUUUUAUUUGGGACAACAACAACCAUAGUGUUGUUUGUGGUAUUUCACUAAUUAAAUGGUGGGCUGUUGAGCACGCCCAUAGCCAUAUCCAUAUUGUAUGUCCAACCGUCACUUUCUAGCAUUGCUUCAAUCUGCAAGUAAAAAGAAUAUUCAUUGUAACGUUUAAAUUCCUCACUGGUAUCUAGUUUCAAGAUUUUGUUUCCUGUUCAUCUAGAAUCAGAGCAAUGUGCUAAAAGCAGAAGCAUAUUCUCAUACAAAAUCUUGUUGACCCCCCCGAAGAAGUGCUCAGAAGUAAGCAGUUCGUUGGAAUCACUCUACACAUUUUUAAUUCAUGGGAUAUUUCUUCUAUUUAAGAAAGUCUUUCUUUCUAAAAGAAAUAAGACAUGAAAUAUACUUUUUGGCAAUACAUGGAAACUUUGGCAAGAAGAAUCGAAGCUCUUUCAGGAGGCCCUUAAAAUGCCCAAAAUGUUCCAGCAUUCAAUCAAGAAUGGGAAGGAGAGGCAGGCAUGGUGUUGGACAACAAGGUAUGUGCAUAAGUAACAAGAAGCUGUUUAAGAAAGAGAUCAAGAAAAUCACCUACUGAUAACUUGUAGAAUACCGUGGCUUUUAUUUGAAUAAUCAUGGAAAUUCAGUUGAAAAUGCAGUAACUUGAGAAGGAAAUCAUGUAAAAAGAUGACCUUUGCGUUUAACACUUGCAAAACUAGUUGUCCUGAAAUAUUGUAAUUCUAACCUUUAUAAAUGUAUUAAUACUAUUGAAAUAGAAGAAAAUAAGACGACACAAGGAGUUUA